CGGACUCUGAUUGUUCAACAGCUUUUUGACUGAAAGAAAUUUUGAAAAGAUUUUGCACACAUGAAUAAAUAUUUUAUUACAGUUUAUUAUAUGACAAGUAAUUUCUAUAAAAUAAAUGAACUAUCAUUUUUUUUCAGCAAUUAUAUUUUUCCCCCGUACAUUCAUCCUUCAUUUUUAUAAUCAGUAGUGUAUGACCUAAUCAAGUUAUCUUCCACAGAUAUUCUUUAUACUUUUCCACCUUUUUAUUCUGAAUAAACAUUUUUUUGGCACAUUUUGCACACAUUUUUUUUACAUUUUCUGAAUUUUUAUUCUUUU
rnacentral:lncRNA from 1 species